UGAAAAAAUUUGACUUGUUUUUUAUAUGGAUUGGCACGUUGGAUUUUUAAACAGUAUAAUACUGUAGUACUGUACAGUACUGUAGUAUAAUUGUACUUAAAGUACAAUAAACCACGUCGAAAGCAGUGAAGGUUAGUUUAAGAAUGAUUAUAAUAAAUAAAAUAUAAAUGUAUAUUACACUCAAAUUAUCGUGAAAAAUAAUGUUGAAUGUGUAUUUAUCGAUCGAAGUUAAAGACACGGGCAGGAACGGGUCAGAGGAGUCAAAUAGCGUUUGUCUGUCGAAGACGGAUAGCGUUGCCCGAAUACGGAACAGCAUGAUUUAAUCGCAACCAGUAUCCGUACUCCAUUAACGACUGGAUAAAUGAGCAGCAGAGCGCCUUGCUGCUGGUUAUAUCAUUAAGCUCGCGUAUCAUACUGAUAAGCAGUCUACGACAUUGUCAAGCUUCAAAAAUGACACCCAAAAUCCUAAACGAGUGAUGAGAGACAAGAGGUGAGGAGUUCCGAUAGCAGGAUGGAAGGCUACUUUGAUGUUAAAAUAGAUAGCAUAUAUUUUCGAAUAGCGAAUAAUCGAUAGUCUUAUGGCAAUUGCUAACAAAAUCGAACAGAUAAGUUGUCAUUGAUUGGAUGAGAUACGAUGGCCAUCUUGGUUAAAGUUAAUGUUAUGAAACAGCGAGUCGCGCAUUUUCUGGCGUAUUUUCUCAGAGGCACAUAGAUCAGCCUUACAGGGUUUUAAACGAGUUGUCAUAGUUGUGGGACACUUCCUUGACUCUAUCUUAUUGGAAGUGAAUUUUAUACGAUGGUAAUUAGACUACAUGGCAUCCUUAUUAGACAGGCUCCUUGGAAAUUCAUAUUGCAAUAGUCCAACGUGGGUGCUUUAGAGUUAAAAUCCCGUGGCAUAAAGUUCUUCCCCGGUAAAGUGUUCCAUAACUAUGAGAACUCCUGGAAAACCCUGUAUUAAAGCAACGGGGUCAUUAUUUCCCAUUUUGUAAAAAUGGCACUUUCCUGCGUAAUAACCUUUAAAUAAAAGUGUAAAUUGCUUAUAUCUUGGGUAACCAAUCGCUGCAUAGACAAUCACUAUCUUAAAGAUUAUCAACAAUUUCCUUAAUUGACAAUGCAACCCAAUUGCAGAUGAUAAAUUUCCAUACCUCCUGCAAUUGCGUCAGAUCUUUUUCGGUCGUUUGCGUAAUCAGUGUGUGUACUGACAAGAGGUUGUACAUAUGGUUUAAGUGCCCUUGAGGGUCUGACGCGCUAUGUGGCCUUUUGAUAAUCCAUUUUUUAUUUUAUUUUGAACAUCUGUUCAAAUAGCAAAAAAGUUAGCUUGUGUAUGCACAUCAAAACAGCUACCAUUUUGGUCGUUCAAGCACGUGUAACGCUUAUUCCAUGUUAUGCGCAUAAAACAACAGUGUAGAUGCAAUUUAAUCUUAGCGAGUACAAAGACGGAAUGAAAUUUUUUAUUUCGUAAUGUAACGAAUGUUUGAUUCAUCCAUUCGUCACUCAAAAAGGCGUUUAGGGCAUCAAAUACACCAUUUGCUGACUAUGAUACACACUGUCAGCUGUUGCAAAUAGAAAAGCUGAAAGUGAACCCUCCCUUGUAUGUUCCGAUUCACCGCACUUGCUGUGGGCAGAAUGAUCCGCUUUUAAGAGCGAUCAGCAAUUUCAAUGAAACUUCUCAUCAGUUCGAUUUCAAUAUUUACUCUGUUCAAUUCCGUAGAUGUUUUCGCACCCUAAAUCAGUAGUUGUCAUUGUCGUUAUCCUUGUUGUAUAAUUGUUUACUGACUUGUCUACACCAUUUCAGUGUUAUUUUCCGCAACCGUGUUAAUAGGUGGUCUUUGCAUAAGAUUAGGAUAGAUUAAGAUAAUAUAGAUUUAGUAUUUGCGAACAUUUUGUUUAUCUUAUUUUAAGCAAACAAUUGAACAUAAAUAAACAACAAUAAACAACAAUUAGAUUUAAAAUUUUAUCAUCAGAAAUGUUUAAUACAACAAACGUAGUCGAUUUUGGUCUGUCAUAAGCUUAUUAAUGAACUUGACUAUCAGCUAAUGGAGCGAUUAGUAGAGAAAAGCAUUCCAAUCAACCGCUGCAAAGUGCGUUGUUACACUUUCUAUGCUCUCAGGGGAUCUAUUCUUGUUUCUAAAUUUGGUAUUUUUGCUUGUUUGUUGCCCUAUUCCAGAUUAAAAAGUAUAUGGUAGUAAAACUGUCAAUCGUGUUUGAACCCACCGUGUAUGCUCACCAUUAUUUUUCACCAUGGACAAAGAAUUUAUCUUUAUUUUUUGAAAGAUGGGAAGCAAACUGUCUACUUUUUCAAUUUUAACUAUUGUAAUAUAGAUCAACAUACCAAUAACUCUGGUUGAACUCGAGAUCAACAUACCCUUAUGAAAUAUUAAUAUUAUCUUAACAAGGCAAUACGACUUUUGGAACGGAAUAAGUUAAGUAAGAUUUUUUUUAUAGAGAAUAUACAAUAAAGUUUGAAUGUCGUAGUUUUAAUGACAUUUAAUGUUUUGCAUGUGAUUUUGUUGUGAGUAAUAGCGAGAGAGAGCAUCCGACUUUCAUCCACGCAAUUUUGUCUCACUGCAAAUUCGCGUUUUGCGAUUCGCCAUGUGUUUAAAUAUGCGAUAUAAAAUUUUAGAUAUAGUGAAAUAGAUCCAUGGUUUUCUCGUGCUAUUUUUUUAUUUUAAAUACAUUCUUUGUUCUUUUUUUCACAAAAGUCAGUUGGUUUUAUUUUCAUCUAUAUCCGUCCUUUUUUCGAUCGUUUGGGAUAACAAAAACCAAUUAAAAAAAAACCCUGUUUUUAAGGAGUCCGAUGAUUCCACACUAUUGCAUGUUUAAAAAUAAAAAAAAAUAUUAAUUUUCACUCAAGGUACAAAUUGACAUUAAGAAAAAAAAAUAAAAACAGAAAGAAAAAAGGAUAGAUUUCACUUUCCGAUUUGUAACAAUAGGAAAAGUGGUUAAAAAUUAUCUUGCUUGGUGUUACGCAGCUAACAUGUUAACCCCGGCGCUGAUUUUCAUCAUCUUUCCGUUCCGCCGGCAUCUAGAACGCAGUUUAUUGUGAACCAAACAUGUAGAAAAAAAUGCUAGAAUUUCAACUCUACUCUGUUCAUCAAUACGGUUGAGUGGGAUGAGGUUCUUAUCAACCGUAAUAAUUUUUACUUACUUACUUAUCCGGCACUACAACCGCUUUGCGGUCUUGGCCGGCACUAAUUAAUAGAGCACUAUUAUUUUACUUGCUCACUCUUGAUCUUGGCCGGCAAUAAUCAAUAGAGCACUAUUAUAUUACUUUCUCACUGAUGCUAUUCAUGCGAGUAGAGCACAGUUAUUCGCAAUGUUUGUUGAUUCCCUAGCAAAAGAUCAAUGGCAGGCCCCAGGGCCUACUACCAGCAUACGGGAAAGUUCACUGGCAGGCCCUGGAGCCUGCCACCGGGCUGAACAUGUUAAUUUAUAGCCUCUUAUAACUGUUUUGCGUAAGUAUUUUCGUAAAAGCAAGAAACAUUGAACAAGUGUUAUACGUAAAGUAUAGAUUGGCUAUAUGACGUACAUUCGAAGACUGCGUCAUAAUUAUUUGAACAGAUUUAGCAGCUCUGUGGCAGCUAUUCAGUACCAUACACGUACAACAAAUGUUUGAUGCAUUCAUCGAUAGAAUUCUGAGUUUAAAUACAAAAACGUUUCGCACUUUAACCACAGUUGCGCAAAACGAACGAUGAAGCAAGUGUUCUGUUUAGUCAUUUUGGGGUUAUUCUGCAGCAAUUCAGUGUCAGCAAACAAAAACGAAAAUGCAAGAGCCGAAGAAGCAGUGGUGGUCAAUGGUAAAAAUGUGACUAAAGCAGAAGCAGCAGCACGAUCUGGACGAAUUACCAAUAGUGUUGCUGUCGAUAUUGCAAAAUAUACUUUUGCACAAAGUUUACGCCUCGAUGGCCGAUACCGUUGCGGUGCUGUUGUCAUCUCAACAUCUCAUGCGCUGACUGGUGCUGUAGCUGUUUAUUCAUUUGGUAACAGUGUCCAAAGGCUGACUCUUUACGGAGGUAGUACAUCUCCAACAUCCGGAGGCGUAUCAUUUCAAGUAAUCAGGAUCGCUGUGCAUCCCAACUAUAAUCCUAAUGGAGGCGUAUCAGAUUUCAAUAUUGCCGUUCUGACUGUGCCAACGAAUGCUUUCGGAGGAAAGCGAAAUAUUGUGCCGAUCCCACUUGCAUCAGCCGGAGUAUCAAUAGGCACUAAAUGCUCCGUGUUCGGAUGGGGCUCAACAAAUCUUAAUCUCCUAGCGCCCGUCAAUGCAUUACGUGCUGCUGGCAUGGUCAUAACAUCGGAGGCUACGUGUGCUAGAGUUUGGGCUCAGUUAGGAGUUAAAAUUACUUCAAACAUACUCUGUGCUAAGGGCGACAGAGCAGCAGACUUGUGCAACGGUGAUUUAGGUAAUGGCCUUGUGUGCAAUGGUAAACUGACUGGUGUUGCGUUCCUGUUUUCCAGAUGUGAUAACGUUCUCGACACAGGAUAUAUGAAAAUAACGGCUCCUAGUGUUCGCAGCUUUAUUCGCAGUCAAACUGGUAUAUGAUGCAAAUUAUGUAUGUUGUAAACACUUGCUUGAUUUUGUAUGUUUUGAAAUAUUCAUGCUUCAGUUUGAAAACCAUAGGAAUAAAAAUGGCAGUCUGUAUCAUUGUCGAUAUUUACAGGCCCUUACCAUGCAAUAACUACAAUAUUGAUUAGAACCAAACUAUUUCAUAAAUACAGUACAAUACUCGGGAAGGCAUUUCCCGAUUACAAUUUGCAAUCGGGAAGGCAUUUCCCUUUCGCUCUUUAAUCUUCCCUUUCCCCUUCGCCUCAAGAAAUAAAUAUG